GUGCUUACUUCAGCAGCACGUAUACUAAAACUGGAAUGAUACAGAGGAGAUGAGCAUGGCUGCUCAGCAAGGAUGACCCACAGAUUAGUGAAGAUUCCAUAUUUUAA
rnacentral:snRNA from 1 species